GGGAUCGCAAGACCUUGCGCUUUUGGAGCGGCCGAUGUCUGAUUAGCUAGUUGGUGAGGUAAAGGCUUACCAAGGCGUCGAUCAGUAGCUGGUCUGAGAGGACGACCAGCCACACUGGGACUGAGACACGGCCCAGACUCCUACGGGAGGCAGCAGUGGGGAAUUUUGGACAAUGGGGGAAACCCUGAUCCAGCCAUGCCGCGUGAGUGAAGAAGGCCUUCGGGUUGUAAAGCUCUUUCAGCCGGAACGAAACGGUCACGGUUAAUACCCGUGACUACUGACGGUACCGGAAGAAGAAGCACCGGCUAACUACGUGCCAGCAGCCGCGGUAAUACGUAGGGUGCGAGCGUUAAUCGGAAUUACUGGGCGUAAAGCGUGCGCAGGCGGUUUUGUAAGUCAG
rnacentral:rRNA from 1 species